GACCUUGUCCUUAUUCUGCUGUUUUAAUUCAGAAGAAGAGAAGUAGUAAUAGAAAUAAUCAUUCAAACAAACACCAAAACAUACUUACCCAUUUUGUUAUUUCUAUUAUUGAUAAUUGCAAAUAGGUUCUCAACAGUGCUGUAUCUGCUGAAUUCUAGCUACUUUCUUCUUUCUGCCAGUUUUCUAAGUCCUUGCUCUACCAUUUCUCUGUCAGGUCAGGGAUCUCUUUUCUAAUUCAUGUCAAACAAGCGUUGCUUUCAAAAGUUUCCUGAAAGGGGGUAGCCCUGACAGAAGUAAAUGUACACCUUAUUAAAGGGACCAAGCUUAUGAACACGCUAUUUUUCUUUCCUCUGAAAGCUACAACUUGCACAAUGCCUUAUUACAUUUAACUACUGUUAACAGCAUUGUGAGUUCCUUUGCCCACAAUUCUUGUAGUACAAACUGUUCCUGGCACCUUAUAUAUUUGUGGAUAUAAAUUUAUUACCCUGAAUAUGUAGGUAUUACAUUUUACUUUUGUAACAGCAUUUUAAAGCUAAUAUCUUCCAUUGAUACUAUAAUUAUGAAAGAAAAAAAGCAUGUUUUCUUUUUGUAUGGCACGACCAUGAUCCUACUGAUACAGGGAACAGCUGACUAAUUUCCUUCCAGGUGCUUUCACUUUUCUUAAACUUCAAGCAAAACUUCACCAGACUGAAAUAAAGCUAUUGGGAGUAGUGAGGAAUCUCAGGCUCUCUGGUUUGCAUACAUGUCACAUCUUACACAAACAAAUGAAGCCUAAGAUUAUUAUGAUGUUUGGAGAAUUCCUGUUAAGUUUUAAGCUGGUAUUCUUAAAAAUGAGUGCUAUACAUUUCUGUACUGUACAAGAAUAUAUUCUUGGGCAAGGAGAUUAUCAGCAAUGUGUGAAGUCGAAGUCAAAUCCUGCUUUUGUUACUAAUGAGGAAGAUAGAAGAUUAUCUUAGCUGGAUCUGUUUCUAAAGCUUCUGCUACAGAUAAGAGAGAACACAAGGAUGUAGAAGAUCAAAAGAAGGGUAUAAGCAGAGACCCACUUCUCUCAUUGAGCACAAGGUACUGGUCAUGACUGCGGAUACAGAAGUCACUACAAGCCCUGUGGUGGUAAGUUCGUUAUAGUGAAUGACUAUUUUUAGUUGCAUUUGAAACAGGUGUGUAUUUGUCAUCACACGCUAGUAAGUUGUGCAUGAUCGAUAAAUAUGGAAUUUUUUUUUUAUUUUUAUUUUUCUCUCUUAAUUUGCAUUUCAUUACUUUCAGUUUCUCUGCAUUCAUCAGUGCUUUAUUUUAAAGAGACUGGGAAAGGAUGUAAACUAAAGAUCAAUUUAGGAUUUUCCCCUUCUGUUUCUCUGGCAGAUACUAUGUCAUCUGCUAGGAAUUAUAUUGCUAUAAGAGAAGAGUAAGACAAAUAAAAAGACUAAUGAUCUUCUUGGCCUGAAAAACCGUAAAUCUAGGCAGAGCUUGCUGAAGAUGAUGCCUAAAAUUUCCUUCCAGAAAACAUCUGAAGAUUGGAAUAUCAGAAGAUGCUGGCAACAGACAGAUUAUAUUUCCUUUAAAAAUGUUCCAUCAUGCUAUGAGCUGUAAACUGUUUUAAAGAAAACAAUAUCAAGAGUUGCCAUGAGUUGUAGAAUAAAUAUAUUUAAAUCACGGAGAUUUCUUUAAAUAUAUUCUUUUUCUUUUUGAAAAUAUAAAGAAGCUCUUUUAUAUAGCAGGAACUUGAAAUGCACAUCAAGACGGAAUUACUUUUCUUCAAAAACCAUAAUAAUAUUUAAUGACAUGGAGGAGUUGACUUGGCGCAGAAAUUGGCCUUCACUUCUAGUAGCAAAUGUAUUGAUAAUAAAAAUAUUUUCUAUAGAAAUAUUUUGCAUAUGUUUAUUAUGUGUAAGUUACUUAGAGCUAAAUUAAAAUAUGAUUUACAUUCAUGUACAUUUCUUUCCCAGGGUACUUGACAUACUCUAGACUUAAUUAUGAUCUUAUUGUCAUUUGUUUUUUUUUUUAUACCAGUGUAAUAACUACUCCUGACUUAAAAUGGUAUAAGAAGAGAAUUAAACAGUAGAUCUACUGGGUUUAGAUCCCCCACCACUGAAAUGCUGUCUCUUGAAAAACGGCAUACUGUAACAGCAAAUAAUAGAAAGUGUGAAAUGCAUUUUGAAGAAUUUGCAACACCCCUAAGUUGUGAUGCUAAUUUAUGGACCUAUUUUUAAGCAGUUCUAGUUGAAAUGAAGUCAUGCCAAGAAUUUUAGACAUUUGUAAGAUACCAGUCAAUCUGGAGGACUGUGUAAAGGAGUAAUUCUUUGAGAAUUAAGGUCAUAUGAUAAAGUAUAGGGGCCCAGAAAAUCUGCUGGAUUCUAUCGGGAAGAGUCCAUAGAGAGUUGUAAAUAACUGGAAAGCAUUUGACCAAGAAGCCAUAGAAUAAGUAAAAUAGGAGGCAAAUUGUUCUGUAAUGUAUCAGCAGAGUUAGUAGCUGGAAAAUUUCUACCAGGUAACUUAUUGUAGCAUCUAAGUUUAGGCCGUUACUUUACCUAGUUUGUAAUAUUCCACCUUACAUUAUAGAGUUUGUAAUGUAGUUUGAUUUUUUUUGUAGUUAAUUGGUCCUCAAAACUCCCACUUUUUUUUUCCUUUGUGUUUUGAAUUAAGCUAAAUUUUACAUGUGUGGUUUAGUUAUGUAUAUAUUUAAUUUAAUCUUACAUGGAGUCUCGUGCCAAAACAUCUUUAUGUAUUAGUUUAACUAAUUUGUGUCAUCAUACCUUCUUGUAAUAAAUGUUAGCAGUUUACUGAUAUUUCAGAAUUACUGGGAGCACAACAUAGUAUUUGUAAUGGUUGGAAUAGUUGUAAUCGUUUCUAGAAAAGCAGGUGUUUUUUUGUUGCUCAUUAAUGACAUCAUGAAGUGAAUAAAAACUUUUCAAA